rnacentral:rRNA from 1 species
UACGUAGGUGGCGAGCGUUGUCCGGAUUUACUGGGCGUAAAGGGAGCGUAGGCGGACUUCUAAGUGAGAUGUGAAAUACCCGGGCUCAACUUGGGUGCUGCAUUUCAAACUGGAAGUCUAGAGUGCAGGAGAGGAGAAUGGAAUUCCUAGUGUAGCGGUGAAAUGCGUAGAGAUUAGGAAGAACACCAGUGACGAAGGCGGCUUCCUGGUCUGUAACUGACACUGAGGCGCGAAAGCGUGGGGAGCAAACAGGAUUAGAUACCCU